CUGUGACAUACCAAUUGUUGCCUCGGCGGAUCAGCCCGCUCCCGGUAAAACGGGACGGCCCGCCAGAGGACCCCUAAACUCUGUUUCUAUAUGUAACUUCUGAGUAAAACCAUAAAUAAAUCAAAACUUUCAACAACGGAUCUCUUGGUUCUGGCAUCGAUGAAGAACGCAGCAAAAUGCGAUAAGUAAUGUGAAUUGCAGAAUUCAGUGAAUCAUCGAAUCUUUGAACGCACAUUGCGCCCGCCAGUAUUCUGGCGGGCAUGCCUGUUCGAGCGUCAUUUCAACCCUCAAGCCCCCGGGUUUGGUGUUGGGGAUCGGCGAGCCCUUGCGGCAAGCCGGCCCCGAAAUCUAGUGGCGGUCUCGCUGCAGCUUCCAUUGCGUAGUAGUAAAACCCUCGCAACUGGUACGCGGCGCGGCCAAGCCGUUAAACCCCCAACUUCUGAAUGUUGACCUCGGAUCAGGUAGGAAUACCCGCUGAACUUAAGCAUAUCAAUAAGCGGAGGAA
rnacentral:rRNA from 1 species